rnacentral:rRNA from 3 species
AGACCCGAAACCCGGUGAUCUAGCCAUGGGCAGGUUGAAGGUUGGGUAACACUAACUGGAGGACCGAACCGACUAAUGUUGAAAAAUUAGCGGAUGACCUGUGGCUGGGGGUGAAAGGCCAAUCAAACCGGGAGAUAGCUGGUUCUCCCCGAAAGCUAUUUAGGUAGCGCCUCGUGAAUUCAUCUCCGGGGGUAGAGCACUGUUUCGGCUAGGGGGCCAUCCCGGCUUACCAACCCGAUGCAAACUGCGAAUACCGGAGAAUGUUAUCACGGGAGACACACGGCGGGUGCUAACGUCCGUCGUGAAGAGGGAAACAACCCAGACCGCCAGCUAAGGUCCCAAAGUCAUGGUUAAGUGGGAAACGAUGUGGGAAGGCCCAGACAGCCAGGAUGUUGGCUUAGAAGCAGCCAUCAUUUAAAGAAAGCGUAAUAGCUCACUGGUCGAGUCGGCCUGCGCGGAAGAUGUAACGGGGCUAAACCAUGCACCGAAGCUGCGGCAGCGAACGUAUCACUUAAAGCGAUUCAGCGGGUUACGAUUGACGGAGCGAAGCGA